rnacentral:rRNA from 1 species
UACGAAGGGGGCUAGCGUUGUUCGGAAUUACUGGGCGUAAAGCGCACGUAGGCGGAUCUUUAAGUCAGGGGUGAAAUCCUGGAGCUCAACUCCAGAACUGCCUUUGAUACUGAGGACCUUGAGUUCGGGAGAGGUGAGUGGAACUGCGAGUGUAGAGGUGAAAUUCGUAGAUAUUCGCAAGAACACCAGUGGCGAAGGCGGCUCACUGGCCCGAUACUGACGCUGAGGUGCGAAAGCGUGGGGAGCAAACAGG